GGACCUCUCCAUCCUCGAGCCCUUCUUCUCCUCUCUCCGCGCCGUCUCGCCUCCCCUGCUCUCGCAGCGCCACCUUCCCUGCCCGGCGCUCGAGGUGCAGCAGUAGGCGCGCCAUGAUUUUGGAUCGGGCGGAUAUCUUCGCCAGGAGAGUAGGAGCACUUGCUGUUAAUAUGAACGAUCUCUCACUAAGUUUUUGUUAUGACGUUGUGUGCCGAUUCAUGAUUUAAACACGCAAAAUGUUUGGUUUGCAUAUUUGUGCCUAGCCCUGUUACCAGCAGUGUAUUUUUUGCUGUAAGAAAGACAGCAGUGCUUUAUUUCUUUGACUUUUUGAUCGUGUCUAAUUUCUGGUAAAAGAGAGGAAUUUGAGAGAGAUAGACAACCUGAAGAGCUUUGAAUGGUUGUUCGAGUGUGCCGCCGGCCUCCUCGCUGCUGUUGUUUGCGUAGCUGGCACGGUGUGUGGCUACUGCCGAGAUAAGCGCAGUUUACUCCAGGUUUGGUGAUGGUGUUGAACAACACCUUAACUGGGCCAAGGAAUUUAGUAGCAUUGCGGGAUCAUAAACCAGUUUUUCUGUUCUCUGUGCUCACAUAGUAAGAACAUGCUUGCAAGUUCUUUUCCCUAGGUGUAAUUUCUUUUGCUGAGAUAGAUUAAGCCUGGGUCGAGGUGGCUGCUGUGUGCCGGUUGCCAGUACUUGUUUGUUGUAAUGUCUUACCCAGUGAGAUUUCUUUUCUUCUUGCCUAUUUUCAGAGGUUCUGCUUGAAGAUUCUCUAAUCACUUUCUUUGGAUUUUUUUUUCCUGAGAUAUGCUUUCAGGUUACUUCAAUGUUACCAGACUUAAAAUGUACUAUCUAGCAUACUAGCACGUGUGUAUAUGAUGCCUCUUUUUAUCCUUGAAUGUAAGACACAUGGUGUUUUGUUCCAUUGUUAUGCUUAACGGAAGUGAUGUUCUGUUAUCAUAUUCAAAACUAUAGCUCUUUGUUUGCAGUAUCUCGAAGGGAGCAAUAUUUUGAUACUUGCUUUAUAGGAAUUCUCUUUCUUUGCCUAGAAUUUGUGAUUUAUGACUGAUGUCAAUUCCACCUUUGUAGGUGCUUCUCAAUUAUUACUAAUUUUGAAACUGCAGAGGAGCAGGAGAUGAGGAGGGCGCCACUUGGUGUACAAUGGUGCAUGAUGCGGCAGUUAGACCGGGAGAUGAGGAGCGCGGCACUGGGUGUACGAAGGAUUAGUAGGAAGAAUGUUAAUCACAGUGGGUGAAAAG
rnacentral:lncRNA from 1 species